UAAGUGUAUCUUUCUUUUAUUUUAAGAGGUAAACAGAAAUUAAAGUUGUUUCAUUAUGUUAUUUAUUUAACGAAAGAACAGAGGAAUCAAUAUUUUUUUUCCACCAAAAAAUGGGUCUAUCGACAGACGAAAUUUGAAAUACGUGCUUUUCUUUAUAUAUAUAUAUAUAUACUAUAUAUAUAUAUUAUAUAUAUAUAUAUAUAUAAGUCGGCACUUGUGCUACCAAGUUUUAUCGCCGACGUUAGCUUACCUUUUGAUCAUUUUACCGUUAGAUCAUACAUAUUCAACCAACCACCCACUCACCCGUAGGGAGACGCACAUCAUCGCUACCACAUCUCUUAAUCCAAUGUGCCAAAAUUGGUAGCACCAAUGACUGGUGCUAUUAAUAGCCAUAGUAGUAGUCGUUAGUAUAAUAUAUAGAAUUAUGCCUGCGAUACUUUAAUAGUUAAAACGUUCUUUAUUGUAUCAAGUUUUUAACCUUGGAUUAAAAAUUGUGUAGGCGUCAAGAUGUAUUAGUCGGGUUAGAGUUGAGUGGUCCCCCUAGGGUUGAGUGGUCCCACUGGUUUAUAUAUUUAUUCAAGUUAGAAAUAAUGAAAAGGUUGAUCAAAGUUUUUUCCUGGUAGCAACAAUGAGAUUUUGCUACUAUGAGUUAGCCCAGUCAACUCUCUCUCUCUUAUAUAUAUAUAGGUAGGCUGGUAUUUAGUGGGAAGCAUGGAGCCCUCCGAUGCUUCAGCUUUGUUUUCGAUGCUUCGGACUUUCGAUAUCGGCUCGGUUGAGUUGAUCUAGAGUAUUUGAAAUACCUAAAAAAUAAUUUGUGUGAUUUUCGAUGUUCAUUUGCCUCGUGAUCGAAGGGGUCAAAUAUCAAUAAUUUUAAUGGCGGUGCUGAGCCAGUUGCAGUUUAAUUGUGGUUGAGAAUAUCCAAAGUCACAUGAAUUUUGUAUAGAAAAUUCUUUCUACCAUAUAAAAGAAUCAUUACUUGAUCUAAAUUUCUAAUGUUAUUUCAUCAUAUUUUGCUAAUUUUAAUUUCAGCGUUGAUUUUGAGCCACUUCGAUCAUCAGGCCAAAUGAUAUAAAAAAGCACAAAAUUAUUUUCUAGUAUAUUUAAAUAGUCUAAGAUCAAGUCUACAAGUGGCGAUCGGUCGAUUCGAAAGUGCACGAAGAAAACAAAGUGGAAGCACGGAGGCGCUCCAUACUUUCCAUAAGCAACCAAACGCAUACUUAUAGUAAAGUACCAUUAAUAUACAUUAUAUAUGAAUAGGUAUAUAUAUACGUAUAUUAGAUGUUACUAUAUAUUGUUAUAGUAUGCAUUGUUAUAUGUGUAUAUAUAUUUAUAUAUAUAUGUAUAUAUAUAAUAUAUGUAAUAUAUAUGUAUAUAUUAUGUAUAACAUAUAUAUAUACAUGAUUUAAGGCUACGAAUACUUAUUUAUUAGUAUCGAGCUCGGUACUAUGUGUCUGUUUCGAUCUUAGGGGUUCAAAGAUCAACGAUCUCACACCGGUUAAAUAUGAUCUAGGUUAUAUGAAUUUUUAAGAAUAAAUUUUAGUUUUUUUCGAUAUCGUUUACUUAGUAAAUAAAUUAUAUCAAAAUGGAGCGCGGUCUGGAAAUUGAAUAAUCUUUAAAAUUGGUAUGAGACUUUUAUAAUUCAAGAUCAGAUGUAUAACUCUUAAUUUAUAUGUUUAAAGUAUUUUGCUAUCAAAUUGAAGAAAUUUAGAUUUUUCUACACGUUUAAACUCCAAAUCGUCAGUAAAUAGCCAUUGAAAUAUUGAAUUUUGAAUAGUUUUGAUCUAAUAAACGUAUGUCGAAGAAAUAUAAAAUUUUGAUUUCUAGAAACAUUUAAUACCCAAGAUCAGUUUUAACGGUGUGGAUCGGUUGAUUUGAACGCCGCUAAGAUCGAACCAAAUACUAUGUACCGGAGCUCGUACUAUAGAUAGUAGUAGUAGCUCAGCUUACUACAUAUAUAUACAAGGUAGAUUAUAUACAUCUAUAUGUAUAGUAUACAUAUACAUAUAUCAUAUACUAUUACAUAUACAUAUACAUAUACAUAUUACAUAUACAUUAUACAUAUAUACAUAUACAUAACUACAUAUUACAUAUACGUAUACAAUAUACAUAUAUUACAUAUACACAUAUACAAUAUACAUAUUAUCAAUAUAACAUAUACAUAUAUACAUAUACAUUAUAACAUAUAUAUUAUAUAUAUAUGUUAUAGCUAUAUAACAUAUAAUAUAUGUAUAUGUUAUAUACAUAUAUAUAUGUAUAUAAAUAUACAUAUAUAUAUGUAUUUACAUUACCGAUAUAUAUAUGUAGUAUACAUAUACAUAUAUAUAUGUAUAUGUAUAUACAAUAUUAUUAUGUAUGAUGUAUAUACUAUAUUAUAUGUAUAUAAUAUUACAUAUAAUAUAUGUCAUAUAUUGUAUACAUAUAUAUGUAUAUUAUGUAUAUGUACUAUUGUACAUAUAUACAUAUACAUAAUACAUAUAUAUGUUAUACAUAUAUAUACAUAUAUAGAUACAUAUGUUAUAUAUAUAUGCUCAUCGAUAUGUAUAUAUAUACAGAAGUAGGCGGCUUAAAUACUUUACAAGUAAUCGACCCAAGUCGAAUACUUGUGUGUUUUAGCCAUUGGAUUUACUUUUUUAUACUAAUAGUCUUGGAUCAAACACACUAUUCCACCUACACCAGCUACCACCACCUGACCACCAUCAUGCUCAACCUCACAUCUCUCCAUCCAAUGGCUAAAACACAACAAGUAUCAAUGGGGGAUACUUUUACAAGUAUCACUUGGGUGUCUCAAAGCACAACCUCAGCAUCCUCUUGCUUCCAAUAGCCACGAGUAGCUCCUCUCUGAGUAUCUCUCUCUCUCUCUACAUAUAUAAUAUAUAUGUUAUAUGCUAUAUAAUAUACAUUAUAUAUGUACAUAUAUACAUAUAUACAUAAUAUGUACUAUAUAAUGUUAUACCGUCACUAUACAUGAUACUUACCUCACUAUACACACCACCAUAUAUACCAUAAUAAAACCAUGUAUAUAUGAUCUACAUAUAUGACAUAUAUACAUGUAUAUACUGUCGGUACAUAAUAUACAUGUAUAUAUGCUUAGGCAGGGCUGCGUGCUCUCAGGACACGGAGGCCCUCGUCGCCUCCUAAGGCCGUUUCGGUGAUGGAUUUUGCGAAUCGACGAUCGGCUUCGUGUAGACUUGAUUCUAGCGCAUUUUGAAGUUUCUAGAAAAUAAAUUGUUGCAGAUUUUGUUCGAUAUCAUUUACCAGUGAUCGCAAAGAUUCACAAAUCUAUAAUUUUUAAUGGUCUGAUGCUGGCUCUCUCGGAAGCAUAAGAAAAUUGGUGCUUCCAACUUUUUGGCCCUUGGAUCAAUCCUCUUGACUAUUUCUGACCUUUGGAUUAAUAUUAUAACCUUAGAGGGACCACUCAAUCCUAGGUGGACCACUCAAUCCUAAGGAGGACCACUAUUAUUCUGAUCCUCUACCCCUAGAUCCAAGGACCAAAAGGUCGGAAGCACUAAUUUCUUUAUACUUUCGAAAGUAUAUAUAUAUAUAUAUAUAUAUAUAUAUAUAUAGGUUGGGGAUGCUAUACUUUUAUGAGUAUAGACACCCUUGUACUCAUAAACUUUUAACCGUUGAUUGAUGAGAUGUGUGGUUAGGAUGAUGGUGGCCCCCACUUAAAAUGAUAGUGGUCCCCUAGGGUUGAGUGGCUAGUUGGUUGAAUAGUAUGAUCUAACGGCCGAAAACUUAUGAGUAUUAGGAAGCUAAUACUCAUAAAAGUAUAGUAGCCGGACUCUAUAUAUAUAUAUAUAUAUAUAUAUAGUGUAGAGCUACUAUGCUAUCGGAAGCACAGAGGAUUUGAUGCUUUCGACUUUUUGACCCUUGGAUCAAGAAUUGUACUGUUGGGAUGAUUGCGGUCCUCCAGGGUUGAGUAAUACCCCUAGGGUUGAGUGGUCCCCACAGGGUAAUGUAUUAAGCCAAAGGUUAAAAAUGAUUAAAGGGAUUGAUGUAAGGGCCAAGCACCAGAUCCUCUAUGCUUCCAAUAGCACAGUAGCUCUCUCUAUAUCUCUCUCUCUCUCUACAUAUAUAUAUAUAUAUGUAUAUGUAUAUAUAUACAUAUAUAUGUACAUAUAUACAUAUAUACAUGUAUAUAUGUACAUAUAUACAUGUAUAUAUGUACUACAUAUAUACAUAUAUACAUGUAUAUAUGUAGAGCAGGGCUGCUGUGCUCUCAGGAGCACGGAGGCCUCCGUGCUCCUAAGCCGUUUUCGAUGAUGGAGUUUUCGAAUCGACGAUCGGCUCCGUUAAACUUGAUCUAGCGUAUUUAAAGUUUUUAGAAAAUAAUUUUUACGAUUUUUCGAUAUCAUUUACCUAGCAAUCGAAAGGAUUCAAAAUCAAUAAUUUUUAACGGCUGAAAAUAAAAAUCCUAUAAAAAGUGGUGAUAUAGCACUAAAAUUUUCGAUCAGAAAUAUAAAUCUUGUUAUAGAUAGUAUAAAGAAUUUUCUAUCAAAAUUUCAUCUGAUUUGAAUACUUCUACACCGUUAAACUUGAAAACCACGCGAGAUAUCAACCAUUAAAAAAUUAUAGAUUUUGAUCCUUUCGAUCACUAGUUAAAUGAUAUCGAAAAAUCGCAAAAAUUAUUUUCUAGAAACUUCAAAUGCGCUAGAUCAAGUCUAACGAAGCCGAUCGUCGAUUCGAAAUUCCAUCAUCGAAAACGGCUUAGGACAGCGCGAGGCCUCCGUGCUCCUGAGAGCACAGCAGCCCUGCUCUAGCAUAUAUACAUGUAUAUAUUACUACAUAUUAUACAUGUUAUAUAUGUAUAUAUGUAUACAUAUAAGUAUAUAUGUAUAUAUGUAGUACAUAUAUAUAUAACAUGUAUAUAUAGAUUAUACAUAUAUAUGUAUAUAUUAUAUAUAUGUAUAUAUUAUACAUAUACAUAUAUAUAUAUAUAUGUAGGAGAGAGAGAGAGAUAUAGAGAGAGCUACUGGCUAUUGGAAGCAUGGAGAUGCUGAGGUUGUGAUUUGGAACACACAAGUGAUACUGUAAAAGUAUCACCCAUGUGAUACUUGUGUUUUUAGCCAUUGGAUGGAGAGAUGUAGGUUGAGAUGAUGGUGGUAGGGGUGGUAGUGGUGGUAGGUGGAAUAGUGUUUGAUCCAAGGACUAUUAGUAAUAAAAAAGUAAAUCAAUUGGCUAAAAACACACAAGUAUCACUUGGGUGAUACUUGUAAAAGUAUUCUAGCCCUACUCUGUAUAUUAUAAUAUAACAUAUAUAUAAAUAUACAUAUGUAUAAUAUAUGUAUAUAUAGUAUAUAUACAUAUAUAUGUAUAUAUGUAUAUGGUAUAUAUGUACAUAUAUACAUAUACAUAUUAUACAUAUAUAUGUAUAACAAUGAGUAAUAUAUUAUGUAUAUAUAUAUAUACAUAUAUAUAUUAUAUACAUAUACAUGAUAUAUAUGUAUAUACAUAUACAUAUAUAUUAGUAUAUUAUAUACAUAUAAUAUUGUAUAGUGUAUAUACAUAUAUAUAUGUAUAGUAUGUAACAUAUAAUAUAUUACAUAUAAUAUAUUGUAUAUACAUAUACAUUAUAUAUAUAUAUAUGUAUAUAUGUAUAUGUAUAUACAUAUAUAUGUAAUAUAUUAUAUAUGUAUAUAUGUAUAUGUAUAUGUAUAUGUAUAUUAUGUAUAUGUAUAUGUAUAUGUAAUAUGUAUAUGUAUAUUAUAUGUAUAUAUGUAUAUGUACAUGUAAUGUAUAUAUGUAUAUGUAUAUGUAUACAUAUAUAUGUAUAUUAAUGUAUAUAUACAUAUAUGUAUAUAUAUUGUAUAUAUAGAGCGAGCUACUAUACUAUCUAUAGUACGCGGACUCCGUACUAUAGUUUGGUUUCGAUCUUAGGGCGUUCAAAUCAACGAUCCACACACCGUUAAAACUGAUCUUGGGUAUUUAAAUUUCUAGAAAUAAAAUUUUAUAAUUUUUUCGACAUAGUUUAUUUUAUAUCAAAACUAUUUCAAAAUUAUCAAUUUUCAAUGGCUAUUAUGACGAGUUUGGAGUUAACGUGUAGAAAAAUCUAAAUUUUCUUCAAAUUUUGAUAGAAAAUACUUUAAACUUAUAUAAAUAAGGUUAACAUUCUUGAUCUUGAAUUUAAAAGUCCUAUACUCAAAUUUUAAAGAUUAUUCAAUUCCACGUCCAUUUUGAUAUAAUUUAUUUACUAAGUAAACGAUAUCGAAAAACAAAAAUUUAUUCUUAAGAAAUUCAUAUACCCUAGAUCAUAUUUAACGGUGUGGAUCGUUGAUUGAACGCGCCUAAAGUCGAAAACCAACACUAUAGUACGGAGCUCGAUACUAUAAAUAGUAUAGUAGCCUAAUUCCUGUAUAUAUAUAGUAUAUACAUAUAUAUAUACAUAUAUAUACAUAUAUAUAAUAUAUAUAUAAAAAAAUAAUAUAUAUACAUAUAUAACAUAUAUAUUCAUAUAUAUACAUUUAUAUUACAUAUAUAUAUAUAUAUAUAUUAUUAUGUAUAUAUAAUGUAUAUAUAUAGUGCGUUUGGUAUGCUUAUGGAAGGUAUGGAGCGCUCCGCGUGCUUCCACUUUGUUUUCGUGUGUCGACUUUCGAAUCGACGAUCGGCUCUGUUAGACUUGAUCUAGAGUAUUUAAAAUAUCUAGAAAAUAAAUUUUGUGGCUUUUUUAUAUCAUUUGCCUAUUGAUCGAAGUGCCNNNNNNNNNNNNNNNNNNNNNNNNNNNNNNNNNNNNNNNNNNNNNNNNNNNNNNNNNNNNNNNNNNNNNNNNNNNNNNNNNNNNNNNNNNNNNNNNNNNNNNNNNNNNNNNNNNNNNNNNNNNNNNNNNNNNNNNNNNNNNNNNNNNNNNNNNNNNNNNNNNGGCCCCGGGGCGUGACAAUAUAUAUAUAUAUAUAUAUAUAUAUAUAUAUAUAUAGAAAAAUACGCAUAAAUAUAUGUUGAGCUAGAAUACUAUCAAAUACGCUAAACCAACUCUGACGCCAGCCAAUCGUUUUCGAUGAUCGAAAGUCCGAAUCAACGAUAAACAAAGUGGAAGCACGGAGCCCUACAUGCAUCCAGAAGCAUCAUAGAAAGCAAAUCUCAUACUAUAUAGAUAUAUAUAUAUAUAGACAAACAGAGAGAGAUGCAAAAAUGAACAGCUGAAAAUAAAUAUACUCUAAAAAGUAUCAUCAUUAUGGAGCUACUAGCAAUCAAGUCAUCGAGAGUAUACAUUUUGAUUAUAAAUAGUCCUCAGAUUAAACACUAUUCUCACCAAAAACCAACUGAUCACCACCUACCAUCAAAACGCUAAACCACAAAACGUCUCACAUCCAAGGACUAAAAACACACAAGUAUGAAACCCCAUGAUACUAUUACAAGUCAAUCAAGCCCAAAUAGAUAUAGAAAUAUAGAUAUAUAGAUACAUAGAGAGGUAUAGAUGCAUGUACAAAGAUAUAGAUACGUACGUAUGUAUGGAUGGAUCCAUGUAUAGAAAACGAAUGAGUGGCAACGGAGUCCGUAUGCUAUAGAUAGCAUAUCAGCUCAACUCUCUCUCUAUAUAUAUAUGUAUGUAUGUAUGUAUGUAUGUAUGGUUUAUGUGAACCAAAGAGAGGAUGGGUUUCGUCGCGAAUCUACGAUCAGUUCAGGCGAAACAAAAUCAUGGUCUUGAUGGUUCGGCAAUGCCGGAAGCGCUGGUGCAGUCCAUUCACAAAUUCGACGGACAUAUUUCUUGAUAUUGCAUGAUCUUCGAGAAAGGGUCGAAAUGGACAAAAAUAAAAAUUACGCAAAAGCCCCUAUAUUUUAUGUACCGAAUUGCGUGAAAUCGUACUUUGAGGUGCGUGCGCGCGUUUUACACACGCUGUGAGAGACUUAGCUUGAAAUAGUGGGAAUCGGAGGACUUACAUGCAAAAUAGCAUCAUUGUAUAUAUGCCAACCUAGGGUUUUCAUGAUCCAAAAUCCUAACGCUAGCAGCAUUGUACUCAGCUGAGCCCCCAGUCUUCUCCCCUCAAUCCUCCGCCUGUCUCGCGCGCUUCCUGGCUUCCGGCGACCAUGUUUUGGCCGGCCAAACGCCUCCACACCAUCAUCCAACCUCUCCCUCUCCUUCUCCACUGCCACAUUUCCCUCUUUCCCUACUUGAGAGCAAGGCAGGGUGCUAUUUCCUUUUUGGGCCCUUCACCGGCGACAACCCAGACCUCUGGCGACCUUUUCCAUCGACCAUAGCCUUCCCAAGCGCCGCUACUGCCGUUUGCUACCAACCUGGGUUGCGCGGGCAGAGGUAGCCGCGCCUCCUUACAACUCCGCUGCCUCUUUCCGGUCUUAAGAGACGUGUCGCUGCUGCCCCUUUGUCGUCCUGGCCGCCGCCGUCGCUGACAAACCUUCCCAGGCUGAGCCCUAGCUCGGGCGGGCUGAACUUUUCCCAACAUCGCCGCCACUGCUUCCCAGCAUUGGCCAAGGUGAGAGUCGCACUCCUCUUCUCCUCCGCACUCGACCUUGAGGUGCGUGCAGGCUGGAGCCUGGUUGCUCAUAGCAGGCUCGGAUAGGGCUGUUUUAGGGUGGUUUUCACUGUUCUAGGGACGCGAGGCAAUUUCGGCGCCUUCGAAGGUGAGCACGGUGACCCCUGGUCAGAGAUGAUCAUAGUACUCACCUUAUUUGCUAUCAGUGAGGUUCGGAUUAGCAUGUUGGGCCCAGUCGCUCCCCGUGCGCAUCGCUCGUUGAAGUUCAACUUGCUCCCGCGCAUUCCACAACAACCCGCAGUGCUCCGGACAGUAAGCACAGCCUUUGCCUUAUCGAGGCCUGUUAGCCCGUGUCACGGCUGACCCCGAAAGUACUUGAUUAGCGGCAAUGAGCAAUAAAACCCCUCCAAUUGCAUGUAUUGUUGUGAUUACAUGUAAUAGUAGGGUUUCUUACACAAAUUGUCACCUCUCAGCUGCUGUGGGCAGCGUGUAUAUGUGGUAGAUGACCUCUGGAUUGAUCGUCCAAGGUCUGAAAUCCUUCGCGGAGACCAAAUAUCGGUUUCGAUGCAUUUUUCAAAGAAAUUCGUCAGUAGACGGUUUCGGGUCAGAUUUUAUCCGACGCUAUUGGAACACCCUAAAUAUUGCCACUGAGCCUUGUUGGCUGGUCACCUACAUUAUCUCGAAUGUCCAAAGACGACAGGUAAGUAGCGGAGGGUUUCAGUAUUGAAAUUGACACUUCCGAGAACCCGGAUUGGAGCGAUUAUCCGACGAUAAUCGUUUCGACAUGUGACCUUCGUGUUUACUGCCAAGACAUCCAAAGUGAUGUGUUUUGAGGCAGCGGAUGACUCGUAACAUGAGUCGGUGAGUUUGGGACACUUCGUCGGUCCCGGCGGCGUCCCGGUGUGAUUUUCAGGACUUCGGGCGAGUUACGGAGAACGAUUUUUGGGAAAUCGAUUUCGUGGAAAAUUUUGGGGAUUGUGAGUGUUGUGUUUUGAGUCGUUUGGGUCGGACUCUGACUCUGCAGACCCUUUGUAUGUCUAGUUAACUAUCCUACGCAUCGUAGGGCAGACGCGACAGUGAUACAGAUGGGUUUUUCAAUCCGAAGUCGGUUUAGUGGUGCACGCUCGGUGAUGUUCCCUCCACUCUCUCUCUCUCUUUAUGUUCCUCACAUUACCUAUGAUUGUUGAGCCUAACACCAUAUGACUUCAUUAUAUGAUGCUCUACUCAGUUGUUUUUGUAUUAGAUUAUCAUAAUCUACGAUAGGGCGGUUGUUGAGUAUAUCUGUGCAUGAUGUGAUACCAGUUGUGACCUAGUUGGUCAGUAUUUUGAUUCUGGCUGUUUGAGGACCUAUUCGGUCGGCACACCUUGAGGGGUUGAUUGUUGGCUAAUUGCCGACAGCUACUGAUCAUAUUUGCAUCAAUCACCACUGCUCGUACUCAUUUUGUGUACACUAGCAGUAUGGCCACUGCAACUGUGUUCUUUUUCAAAAAAGUGGUCGGACUUUUGAACCAUGAGCCCAGGAGUUUAUGCUAGGGUCAUAUGCCAUUUACAGCGGCGUGGCACUUGCCUAUGGUUCUUAGACCGACACAGCGGAUUCUAGAUUGGGUAUUUUGGACUGAUCGUUCGAUUGAUUAAUGUUAUUUACAGUAGCGGUAGUUGCACAUCUAUUUUGUUUUCUAUUUGACAUUGCUACUGUAUUACUUUUCAUAGCUAUCUUUUGGUUACCAGUGAGCACACUCGUCCUCGUCGGCUUGCGGUACCCACUGGAAGACCCUUGUUGGUUUCUCACCACACCUCCCCCCCUCCCCCCAUUUCAGGUGAUCUUGGCAAACUGAGUCUGGACGAGGCAUGAGGUGCAUACAUAGCGAGAGUUAGAGUUUCCAGCUUGGCUACUUAUCGGUUUAGUCUCACCCCUCUCGGUUCAAUAAUGAAUUAGAUAGUAUGUGGUUCAAUUUUAUCUCUAUUUAACUUUAUUUGAUUUUACUCUGACAAUGGCAUGACUUAGAAUACUAAAUGAAACUAUUUUUGUGGACUUCAUGUGGAUUUGUAAAAAUAAUUUUCUAUCCCUCGUGGUAGCUUGCUUUUAAAAGAUAAGGGUUUCCGUGUGGAAAAUGGUUUUCAAAAAGGUUUUACAGUUUUCGUGAUUCUAGUAUUUCAAAAUAAGUUUUCGGGUGGGAAACGUUUUCAACUGAUAAAUGUGAUUGUAUAAAGGUACUUGUGAUCGUAUGUUGUGAAUGGAUGUGGUUGUAACUUCUAGGAUGUGUGACGCCGUGCAAAUACAUGAAAGACUCUGUCCGUGUAGACAAAGAGUUCUCUAUAUUUGUGGCGGGUCUGUCACCCUUGGGGUCAAGGUUUAAAAAAAAAAAAAAAAAAAAAAGGCACUUCCGCUAAUUCAAAGCGACGGCACAAAGAAUUUGGUCAAAGAUUUCUAUCUUCUCUAUUUUCGUCUUCUCGAUUACGAUUUUACAAAAAGCUUUUUUCGGUUAUAUUUUGGAGAUUUCAUUGAAGCAAGAGAAAGAUUGCAUUUGUUGGAAAAUCUUUCUGAUCUUCUAGUAAAAUAUUCUUUAAAAGCAAUUCAAAAGCUUAAUUUUAAUUUUAGAAAAAUUUUGAAAAAAAAUUAAAUAAUAAAUACUGUAGAGAAAAGGAUAGGAUAACUCCUGUAGAUCGAGGCAUGUAGAGUACUGUCUAGAAGUGAAAUUGCCCCUCCACGUGCGAGGCUUUCCGACAAUUACUUCAAGGUGGCGCAAGAUGAACUUGACAAGCUUUAGGAGUCCAGCGAAAUACUAGAAAGCUUAGCGAAAAUCAGUGCAAAAGUUCAAUAGCGAGAAAUAGAAGAAACAGAGGUAGCGGUUAGGGUUUUGUUCUUAGGUAUGCCUAGGUUCAAGGUUGAACUCAUGCAACCUCCUCUAAUAUAUAUAUCCAAGGCAAAGAUCUUUCUUCAACGCGUCAAUUCCAUAUAGCAUGAGAUAAGUCUAAGAUUAUACGGGAUACGGAUUAGAACUCCCACAAGAAUUAGGAAUAAGCCAAAAAAAAAAAUUAAAAUAAACCGAGUACCUGGACAGCGUGCGCCACCCGCCCGGCUCGGCUCGUAUGUGUUUAGUCGAGGGCAUAACUCUCAUUUUCUCCCAAGCAACUAGCUUGCGAAUGAAAGAGUAUAUAAAUAAUAACAACAUACUUUUAGUUUCCAAUAUGAGACUGAUCCUCACAUAUGAAAACCUUAAUAUGGGCUCCUAGGUAAGGCCCAUCAAGUAUUGGGCUGCUCAAAAGGCUUAAUAAGUUUUAAAUUACCAAAAACCCAAUAAAAUCUAACAAGAUUCACUAUAAGACUCUUGAUUUUUUUAUCUAGAGAAGACAUAAGGUAUAACCUUGUAUUUCUAUUUCCUCAUAUAUAUAUAGUGGAAUACAUCUCUCUCGCUUUUUUCGUUAACGUAGGCAAUUACAGAACCACGAAAAAUCUUGGUCUAUUUUUUCUGCAUUUAUUUCUAUGGGAAUUUGGUUAGAUUAGUAAUAGAUUUCUAGUUGAAUUAGGAAAAAUAUUUAAAUCUAUUGAAUAUAAAUUAAAAUGGAUUUACAUAUUGAUUAGAGUAUCCAUCAUAAUUAUACUGGAUUUGGGUACAUUUUAGGGGCUUUAUUAUAUAUAGCAUAGGAUGAUUAAUUAAUCAGGAAGUAUGUGUUACGAUUUGGUUAAAUUUUGCAGUUGAAUCCUAAUUGAAUUAUGAUUAAUAUUUAAAUUUGUUGGAAUAAAUUAAUUAAGAUUUAAAUAUUAAGUACAAUAUAAAUAUAAUUGUACUAGGAUUUGAAUACAUCUUCCAUAGAGCCGUAUAUAUAGGGCCGUGUAUGCUAAUUAUUGUAUAGCCUACGUAGUGUACGGCUAAGCCCGAAGCUCUUUUUUGGCGUGAUCGUACCAGGGAGAAACUAGGCCUAGUUUUGUGCACCUAGUGCAUGGAUGCAUACGGAAAUUUGUCUUCUAGAAUUAUAAAAGACGAGAGAAGUGUGGGAGAGAUUCAAAAAGAGGGCUCGAGUUGAAGCUACUUAGUGUAGAAAGGACUCAGGUGUAAUCUUCUUUUGUUUAAUGAAUCUUAUUUUAUUCGUAUAUUUUUUUUUCUUUAAUUUUUCUCAUUUGUGGUUGUACCAGCUGUUUGCCGAGGAGACAAGUUUAUCGAAAAAUUCAAUUUGACGCUUCUGUUGGUACCAAUCAACAACAGUCGGUAUCAAAGCGGGUUAUAGAUUCUCAAAAUCUAGUACCAGGCUGAGUACCAGAUUCCCAACAAUUAGUAUUAGAACUUAAGUUUAUCGAUUCUCAGGAAAGAUCAACUGAGGUGGCCACAAAAUUCAAAAUUGAGAAGUUCGACGGUAAGAACAAUUUUAAAUUGUGGCAGAUUAAAGUACAAGCAAUUCUCAUACAAUAAGAGUUGGAGGCAAAGCCAGCGGAGCUCAUGGAUGCAAUAUAGAAGAAGAUGGGGUGAAAAGUAUUAAGUCACUACAACAGAAUUAGGUUAUAGAGACACAUGUUUGGAACAUUUUUGUGUAAGUGUCCCAUUUAUACCAAAACUUUAAAAAAAAAUCUACUAAUGUCUAAAUAUAAAGCUCAAUCCAACAAAAAUAAACGGUUACCCUACUCAACCCACCCCACCGAGCCGAUUUGGCCCGAUUACAAACAGAAAAGAAAAAAAAAAGAAAAGAAAAAUCGAUUACCAUCUCCCAUUCUUUCCUCACUCAAUCCACUGAAAUCCUAGACGAAGAUCCCUUCCUCUCGUCCUCUUCCGCCACCGCAGCCAACGAGGUAGAGUUUCGGCGGUUGCUAAAUGCUUAAAUAAGUGUUUGUAAAUUAGCAGCACUCUUUUUAGAUUAUAGCGACACUCUUUAACUCUCACUGUAUACCUAGCGACCCCACAUAUAGCAACACUUUUUAAAAGUGUCGGUAAUUUAGCCAGCAACACUUUUUUUGACAUAUACCGACAUUUAAAAGUGUCGUUAUAGACCAUUUUUGUUGUAGUGGUACGCUUUAUCUAUCGUUAACAGAUGAGGUUCUCUCCUACGUAGCCAGCAAGUUGACACCGACGAAGUUGUGGAAGAAGUUGCAAGAUCUGUACACGACCAAAUCCUAACAAAUAGGCUAUAUUUGAAGCGGCCACUAUUCAAGCUAUGGAUGCAGAAAACGGCGAGCCAACACGAAUAUCUAAACAAGUUCAAUAAAGUGGUGGCUUAGUCGACUAGCAUUGGAGUCAAUUUUGAUGGUGAGGACAAGGCGCUAAUUUUACUAUCUUCGCUACUGACGGUAUAUGAGUAUUUAGUGACCAAAUUGCUAUAUGGCAAGGAGACCAUAAAUGUGUUGGCGGUCACGGCGGCGCUUUUCUCUAAUGAGAUACGAAAGAUGACUCAGGAGUCUAGCAUGCAUAGCCAUGAUAUUGCUCUGGUUGUAAAAGCGAAGAAUGAUGCGAAAAUAUCAGUGACCGCAAAAAGACAAAAGAAGCCGUUAUCUGGGUGUAGUUCUUCUACUGUAAUAGGAAAGGGCACAUAAAGUGUAACUGUCAGAAUCUUUAGAAUGAUCUGAAGAAGUUGAAGCGAUAGAAGGAGAAAACUACCAUGACGAGGAUGAGGAGACAUUAGCGAUGGCGCAGGCGACAGAAUCGAAGAUGAUCAAUUUCGAUGUGCUCUAUGCAGCGACCGGAGGUGCUAAAAUUUUGGAUGAUGCGUGGGUGCUUGAUUCAGCGUGUUCCCUUCAAGUCUGCCCAAGGAAGGAGUUUCUUGCCACCUCUAAGACGAUUCGGGUGGAAAGGCUCUGACGAGGAACGGGACGACGUGCAAAGUUGUGGAAGUCGGCACAGUAAUGAUCUGGAUACACGAUGGAGUCGUGAAGAUGCUGACAAGUGUGCGGCACAUUCCUAGUUUGAAGUAGAAUUUGAUUUCGCUAGCGUGUUGGAUUUGAAAUGUUGUGAUUUUUCAGCUUCAGGUGGAGAUAUGGCGGUACGAAAAUGAGAUUGGGUCGUGUGCGAGGCCUACAAGCACAGGAAUUUUUAUAUUCUGAACGGGAGUACAGUCAUAAUGGGAGUAAAAUCAGUUUGGGUUUCAAAAGUUCGUGGAGAUUCUGUCGCUCGAGAUGGAGUGGCGAAUACAGUGACAUCGAGCGGAGGAGACAAGCUCAAGGUGGAGCUUGCAUGGUAAGUUUGACGUAGCAGUUGAAAACUACAAAUCAAACUAAGGUGGUGAUUGUUAAGAUCUGGUCAGAUCUAUAGUUAAAUCCUAAUUGGAUCAAGAUUAAUAUUAAAAUCUGCUAGAGAUAAAUUUAUUAAGAUUUAAAUAUUAAUUAGAGUAUAAAUAUAAUUGGACUAUGAUUUGGGUACAUCUUGGGUCGAUCCUUGUAUAUAGGGCCAUGUAGUCAAAUUAUUAUAUAGCCUAGGUGUUGUAUAAGCCCAAAGCUCUUUAUUGGUGGUGACUAUACCAGGGAGAAGCUAGGCUUGGUUUGGUGCACAUCGUGCAUAAGUGCACAUGGAGAUUUGUCUUCUGAAAUUAUAGAAAAAUGAGAGAAGGGUGAGAAAGAUUCAAAAAGAGGGCUUGAGUUGAAACUAUUUUGUAUAGAAGAGGAGUCAGAUGUAAUCUUCUCUUAUUUAAUAAAUCUUAUUUCAUCCACAUUUUUUGUUUGAUUUUUUUCUCUUUUUUGUGGUUGUGCCAGUCAUUUGCUAAGGAGAAGGGGUUAUGGUAAAAAGUCGAUUUGACACUUUUAUUGCAAAAUCCCAACAACUGGCAUCAGAUCAACACCAGUUGUCAACGAAGUGGAUUACAGAUUCUCAAAAUCUAGUACCAAGGUGAGUA
rnacentral:lncRNA from 1 species